AGGUCAAGCUACAAAGGGCGCAUGGUGAAUGCCUUGGCAUCAGGAGCCGAUGAAGGACGUGAUAAGCUGCGAUAAGCUUCGGGUAGGCGCACAUAGCCUGAGAUCCGAAGAUCUCCGAAUGAGGAAACUCACAUGGGAAACCCCAUGUAUCAUUAAGUGAAUACAUAGCUUAAUGAAGGUAACCCAGGGAACUGAAACAUCUAAGUACCUGGAGGAAGAGAAAGAAAAAUCGAUUUUCUUAGUAGCGGCGAGCGAAAGGGAAAGAGCCCAAACCGGAAACUUGUUUCCGGGGUUGUGGACAUAGCAUCAAAGUGGAGGCUAUUGUAACUGAAGAGAACUGGAAAGUUCUACCGUAGAAGGUAAUAGUCCUGUAAGUGAAACGAGAAGACCACGAGUUAUGAUCCAGAGUACCACGAGACACGUGAAACCUUGUGGGAAGCAGGGAGGACCACCUCCCAAGGCUAAAUACUACCUGAUGACCGAUAGUGAAGCAGUACCGUGAGGGAAAGGUGAAAAGAACCCCGGGAGGGGAGUGAAAUAGAACCUGAAACCGUGUGCCUACAACCGCUCAGAGCCCCUUAUGAGGGUGAUGAGGUGCUUUUUGUAGAACGAGCCAACGAGUUACGGUAUGUAGCAAGGUUAAGUACUUAAGGUACGGAGCCGAAGGGAAACCGAGUCUGAAUAGGGCGACUAGUUGCAUGCCGUAGACCCGAAACCGGGUGACCUAUCCAUGGCCAGGUUGAAGCGAGGGUAAAACCUCGUGGAGGACCGAACCACGUUGCUGUUGAAAAAGCAUGGGAUGAGCUGUGGAUAGCGGAGAAAUUCCAAUCGAACCCGGAGAUAGCUGGUUCUCUCCGAAAUAGCUUUAGGGCUAGCGUCGAGUAUGAGUAGUGGAGGUAGAGCACUGAAUGGGCUAGGGGGCAUAGCGCUUACCGAACCUUAUCAAACUCCGAAUGCCACAUACUUUGAGCUCGGCAGUCAGACUACGAAUGAUAAGAUCCGUGGUCAAAAGGGAAACAGCCCAGAUCGUCAGCUAAGGUCCCAAAGUGUAAGUUAAGUGGGAAAGGAUGUGAGAUUUCUAAGACAACUAGGAUGUUGGCUUAGAAGCAGCCAUUCAUUAAAAGAGUGCGUAAUAGCUCACUAGUCGAGAGAUCUUGCGCCGAAAAUGUAACGGGGCUAAACUUACCACCGAAGCUACGGGCUUGAACUUAGUUCAAGCGGUAGGAGAGCGUCGUAACCGGGCUGAAGUCGUACCGUAAGGAGCGGUGGACUGGUUACGAGUGAGAAUGUUGGCAUCAGUAGCGAGAUGUGGGUGAGAAUCCCACAGGCCGAAAACCUAAGGUUUCCUCAGGAAGGUUCGUCCGCUGAGGGUUAGUCGGGACCUAAGCCGAGGCCGAAAGGCGUAGGUGAUGGACAACUGGUUGAUAUUCCAGUACCACUACCAUCGUUAUUAUCGAUGGCGUGACGCAGGAGGAUAGUGUGUGCUAGCUAUUGGAUGCUAGUCUAAGCGUUUAGGCAGUGAGAGUAGGCAAAUCCGCUCUCAUAAUGCUGAGGCGUGAUGGGGAAGGUUCUACGGAACCGAAGUACAUGAUUCCACGCUGCCAAGAAAAGCGUCUAGAGAGAGAAGUAGUGCCCGUACCGCAAACCGACACAGGUAGGUGAGGAGAGAAUCCUAAGGCCGGCGGAAGAAUUACAGUUAAGGAACUCGGCAAAUUGACCCCGUAAGUUCGCGAGAAGGGGUGCCUACGAGAGUAGGCCGCAGAGAAUAGGCCCAAGCAACUGUUUAGCAAAAACACAGGUCUCUGCUAAAGCGUAAGCUGAUGUAUAGGGGCUGACGCCUGCCCGGUGCUGGAAGGUUAAGGGGAACACUUAGCGCAAGCGAAGGUACGAAUUGAAGCC
rnacentral:rRNA from 1 species